rnacentral:rRNA from 1 species
CAGUCGCCGCGGUAAUACAGAGGGUGCAAGCGUUAAUCGGAAUUACUGGGCGUAAAGCGCGCGUAGGUGGUUUGUUAAGUUGGAUGUGAAAUCCCCGGGCUCAACCUGGGAACUGCAUCCAAAACUGGCAAGCUAGAGUAUGGUAGAGGGUGGUGGAAUUUCAUGUGUAGCGGUGAAAUGCGUAGAGAUAGGAAGGAACACCAGUGGCGAAGGCGACCACCUGGACUGAUACUGACACUGAGGUGCGAAAGCGUGGGGAGCAAACAGGAUUAGAGACCCCCGUAGUCCCUGUCUCUUAUAC